CAGCGUUCAGCAACGCAGUAACCGUUACUGCAUGUUGCAGCUUCAGUUUAGUCUUCGUCGUUUGUGCUAUUUCUGGGACAUGUAUGGCGCGUUCCGCAAGGGACGCAUUCUGUUACUCGUGAGCACGUUGUUACAACGCCGAGGGUCACGGAACAGCGUUCUGUUCACGAUGUGCGUUGAUGUGCGAAAUCGCCUUCUUUAUGAGCCAGUCAAAGUUGUCGAUGUGCCCUUACAAGCCAAAAACAUGCUGUCUGGAUCUUCCGAGGGGGCACCAUUCGCAACUCAGAUAAAGGGACUUCUGAAAACGCUUUUAUGUACAGCGGAGAAACUAUGGCAUCUCAUCGAAUCGAAAAGGGUAUGCUUACAGACCUGGUGCCACAACAUCUAAUAACGUGUCUUUGCAAACCGAAGAAAUAGAACCCGGAGCCCAAAUGUCACAACUACACGCGAAGAGGACCACUUGGCACAUCUCAUCCAUUUGAAGUGAAGCACGGGUACCGAGGUAUCCCUGAGACGCGGUUCGAUUGAAACUAAGGUCUCGCAAAGCGGUUUUGUUUCCAAUCCUCCUUAUGGCGCACCCACACACCUGUAUUCAAAAUUCUCUGUUAAGAGAAAAAGUUUUCCACCUCCUCGACAGCUCUUCCCACUACUCUACGCGAAAGGAGAAUAAUGCCUGUUCUCUGUGAGCUUCAGAAAUUUCACGAACAGGUAGCGCAGCUGGCGACCCCGACUAAGCGGCUACUCAAAAUAAGGAAAUUCAUUUAAUUUUUUCUUUGCUUGGUUAUGCUGGUCAAAUUGUUUGCUCUGUCUUUUCCUCACUUGUGCGCGCCCAUACACUUUCAUGAUUCAUUCAUGAUGCUUUCACACACUCAAAAUGCACAAAAUUAAGAACUGGACAUGAAGCAGAUCUACUUCUAGGUUGUGUUAGUAAAUGUCGAGGUGUAGUUCACAUGAAUCUACCCAUGCACAUGGGGGAACGCUUGUGUUGACAGAAAUGAGCUUAUAGCUUCCCCUCAUUGUUCACAUACUGCCGGUGAAGGGAUGUGAAGCAGUUGCAUCUCACGCACAGUGCACGCUGUUUCAAAGCUAUAGCAUUGCGAUUUUCUUUUUUUUUAUUUCUCGGGCACAUUAAGCUAACAUGUAAAAGCGUUAAGUGAAGCGUUACACAAGACCCACCUGUAUAAAUGUGUUAUACACAAGACGUACCUGCUAUUCGCAUUUAUUCUUUGUCAAAGAACCACCGUCUCUACUCUAUUUCACCAUCUCUUUCAUGUUUGACACGCACGCACAUCCGGUAACGCGCUGUUCCCGCUACCGUGCAGGAUUUAUACCCGUCAGCGAAACGGCCGCCUUCGUCUGUCGUUUCCCACCGCUCUCGCUCGCAUGCAUUAACAUCCCUGCCUUCUCACUUUAUUUCCUCUUCCCCGUUCGCCAUGCACGUGUAGAUUCCCAGCCCAGUCUACGAACGAUCAAGUCGCGUUUCGCGGGCGACAAAAUGCGCUCCAAAACCUGGAGCCCAAUACCUCGGUAUACAUCGCUCCGUCCCAAGCGUGUAUAACAUCUCAACGCAUCUAUCCAUGUACACGUCCCUUACAGCGAUGCACGACCCGCAGCGCGAAGGGCUAUACGGAGUCCUCCGACUCCC